GACGAACGCUGGCGGCGUGCUUAACACAUGCAAGUCGAACGGAAAGGCCCUGCUUUUGUGGGGUGCUCGAGUGGCGAACGGGUGAGUAACACGUGAGUAACCUGCCCUUGACUUUGGGAUAACUUCAGGAAACUGGGGCUAAUACCGGAUAGGAGCUCCUGCUGCAUGGUGGGGGUUGGAAAGUUUCGGCGGUUGGGGAUGGACUCGCGGCUUAUCAGCUUGUUGGUGGGGUAGUGGCUUACCAAGGCUUUGACGGGUAGCCGGCCUGAGAGGGUGACCGGCCACAUUGGGACUGGGAUACGGCCCAGACUCCUACGGGAGGCAGCAGUGGGGAAUAUUGCACAAUGGGCGGAAGCCUGAUGCAGCAACGCCGCGUGCGGGAUGACGGCCUUAGGGUUGUAAACCGCUUUCGCCUGUGACGAAGCGUGAGUGACGGUAAUGGGUAAAGAAGCACCGGCUAACUACGUG
rnacentral:rRNA from 1 species